rnacentral:rRNA from 1 species
GAUGAACGCUGGCGGCGUGCCUAAUACAUGCAAGUAGAACGCUGAAGGAAGGAGCUUGCUCUUUUCGGAUUAGUUGCGAACGGGUGAGUAACGCGUAGGUAACCUGCCUGGUAGCGGGGGAUAACUAUUGGAAACGAUAGCUAAUACCGCAUAACAGUAGAUGUUGCAUGAUUUAUAAUUAAAAGGUGCAAUUGCACCACUACCAGAUGGACCUGCGUUGUAUUAGCUAGUUGGUGAGGUAACGGCUCACCAAGGCGACGAUACAUAGCCGACCUGAGAGGGUGAUCGGCCACCCUGGGACUGGGACACCGCCCAGACUCCUACCGGAGGCAGCAGUAGGGAAUCUUCGGCAAUGGACGGAAGUCUGACCGAGCAACGCCGCGGGAGUGAAGAAGGUUUUCGGAUCGUAAAGCUCUGUUGUAAGAGAAGAACGAGUGUGAGAGUGGAAAGUUCACACUGUGACGGUAUCUUACCAGAAAGGGACGGCUAACUACGUG